rnacentral:misc_RNA from 1 species
GAUGAAGAACGUAGCGAAAUGCGAUACGUAAUGUGAAUUGCAGAUUUCAGUGAAUCAUCGAAUCUUUGAACGCAUAUUGCGCUCUCUGGUAUUCCGGAGAGCAUGCUUGUUUGAGUAUCAGUAAACACCUCAACUUCCAUAUCUUUUUUGAAAUGGGAGUUGGACUUGAGUGAUCCCAACGCUUUUCCUCACCGAAAAGUGGCGGGUUACUUGAAAUGCAGGUGCAGCUGGACUUUUCUCUGAGCUAUAAGCAUAUCUAUUUAGUCUGCCUAAAAACAGAUUAUUACCUUUGCUGCAGCUAACAUAAAGGAGAUUAGUUCUUGUGCUGACUGAUGCAGGAUUCACAAAGACAGGCUUCGGCCGACUUUGUAAACUCGAUCUCAAAUCAAGUAAGACUACCCGCUGAACUUAAGCAUAUCAAUAAGCGGAGGA